rnacentral:lncRNA from 1 species
AAAAUAAUAAUAAAACAAGAGGCUGUCACAACGACAGCAAACCGGAUUUAUUAACAUUUAUUUGUGUCCUGGCAAUAUCACAAGAACCAUUACUGAUGAAUGGUGAAAGUGAAAAUCGUCAAUAUCAAAUUUGACCUCCAUUUUGUCAUCAGUAUCAACAUAUUAAAAUUUGAAAAGCUUAGAUUGAAUGGUUCAUGAGUAAAUGCAACAAAGUGAAUGGAAACGCCAUUUUACGAUCUUUCAAGAACC